UGAGCAAUCAACCUGUGUUACUGAACUACAUUGCCCAAAGCAAUGAUUCAGUGGACAUGUUCAAUACCUUAACAGUGGACCUGUAGUAAUAACUAUACAAGGAGAAAAAUAAUAUAUUCAAGAAAGCACAAGUGUUUGAAACCACCUUUAUUCAAGUUGGCAAAAAGGGAAAGGGACUGAUGUACAUAACCCUGUCCAAAUGGUUACUGUGGAUGUUGCAUUUACUAGCCUCUCCUUCCACUAUCUAGUGUCCUGCUGCUGGCCCAAACAACUACAGGCUGUAAAAAGCAUGCUAGACAUUGCUGGGUCACCAAAAAAAGAACCCACAAGCCUACAAUGACCUUAAAGCUAGCAAGGCAUCUUUGCUUUAAUUUUGUAAGGAACUCUGUUUAUGUUCAUAAGAAGUAGCAAUUAUGCCUGUAGGUUGGCACCGGUCAUACAUUUUACCUGCAGCUGUGUUGCAUUUCAUGAGCAUGGGAAAGACUAUUUGCCCAUUUGGGAAAAAAUGAUUUAUCUCUGAGGC
rnacentral:lncRNA from 1 species